rnacentral:lncRNA from 10 species
GACAUCAAUGAAAUAUGAAGAAAGGUAAGAGAAAAGUUUCUGGGGAAACUAGAGACUCUGUUGUCAGAGAGCACAAAGCUGAUAAAAUGUCUAGUACUUCCAAGUUGCCACUGUUAGAAGGCUGAGGUUACCCUGAGAGAAUCACAGUACUUGGAGCACUGCUUUAGUAGUCAAUAGUACCUCGUUUACCUGCUUCCUGAUGCAAAGACCACAUCUUGCCAUCAGUUCAUACACAGUCACUUCUGGCUUUUCCAUGAUCCUGAACACCAGCAAGCCCAGAGGAUGCACUGGAAGUAAAUACCAACUAAGAUGAGUGAUCCAGAGUGUAGAGGAAAGGGGAGGAAAACCACCACUAAGCAAACUCCCCCUAGGGAAACUAGUAGAAGUAAUCAAAUCACAGAGGUAGUUAGACUGUAUUAAUGUUUACCAUAUGCAUAAUUAUGACCACCUCAAUGAACAUAAACAUUCAUAUAGGUCAAUUUUAAAUGUCUAAUUUCAUAGUUAGUGACGUUGUUUCAUUUUUCUCAGAUCGGUGACCUGGGCUCCUUAUGUGCCUGAAAGAGUUUGAGUUUCCUGUUAACUCCAAAUCAACAGUAUUUUCAACAAGAAAUGUGCAAUUGAAAUCAAGUGCUGUUUAAGUGCAGCUAGGAUUUCCACAGGAAGACACUUGCAGUGAACAGAGUUAUGGAGCAGCAAAAACACAGAUCUAUUUGGAAAAAGAGAAAACAUAUGCGUUGUAUUUUGCUUCAAUUAUAAAAUACCAUCCUCUCAAAGGUGGUUCUAAAUUACAAAGGACUUUGAUUUCUAGGUAGAUUCUGGGUAGAGACUUCCUUUCAUAUUGAGGCAUUAAUGACACCUUUUAACCUGGGAAGCAAUAUGACUGGAGUUGUACUUUGAGAAGAUUAAUCAGGUUUGGUUGCAGAAUGAAAGAGAAGAUGAAGUCAAGAGAUUGGUUUAGAGGCUCUAGCAGAAGCUUAGUCAUAUUUCAAAAUGAUCAAAUAUCAAGAAAAAUUCUGAGCUGCAUAACUUGUAUAAAGUAAUUUUCAGUGAUUUUUUUCAUGGUUAUGAUAAAAGAACUGGAUUAGCAGAAACUUUUACCCUGAAUCAAGAUUUAAUUUUUCUUUGAGCUCAUCUUAAGGAUAUCGGAACAUAGGGAGCAAACGAUGGUGUGGCUGCCUCAGUGCUUGAUUUUUAACGGUUUUGAAGAGAAUAGUUACAUUUCUUCUCCUAGUAAGAACUAAUAAAUACAUUAACAGAAAUGAAUUCCCUAUCCCUUUGUACACUGGUCUAUUUCUUCAAAACAUUAAAUACUAUUGAUAAGAUAUCACCUUUUAUAAUUUGUGUUCAUUACAGUUCUCUUGUCAUGAAAUGCAAAUGAAAUGUAGUAUAUACUAACAGCUUUUACAGAAAGACUAAUCCUAAGAGAAUCAUAUUUUUAAAUUUGAAUUUAUAAUAAUUAUGUUGUACAUUAUGGUUUCGAUAUAUGUAUAUGUUGUGGGAUGAGACACGCUCUUAUUUUUUAAUUUCAUUUAUUCAUUUUUCAGUUUACAUUAUUGUCCCCUUUGAAGUAAAAUUUAAUAGGAUGUUCUCAAAUUUUAUUGAGGGUUGACAGACGGCCAAGGAAAAUGUUUAUUUUUAUUUUUUCAUCAAAAUACAACUUGCAUUUUGAUUAACCUUUAUAUUCUAAAAAGAACUCUUUCAGAAUGCAGUCAGAAAGGGCAAAUAAGUCUCUUUCAUAGAAAUGAUAAAAUUUCCUUCAACAGACAAAGAGAUCGAUGGGAAAGUCAUGUUUUUGCAUUUGUCACAGCUGCUGAUAAACUAAGAACAAAUCAAGUGAGACAAGGGAGGAGCCAUUUUACAUAUAAUUCCUGAUAAGAUUAUCUAUUUCAGCCUCCCUCUCUUCCCUUCCUUUAUGGAAUUUUGCAUUCUCUUACUGCCUUUAAUGUUACCGUCCUGUUGCAUAUGUAUUUUUACCAUGCAAUAACUCAUAUUUAUUUUAAAGAACUCUAGACUUGAAGUCAGUGGAUCACAAGGAAUGAGGGGGUUUGGAUAUGAGACCUAAAUAUAAUGUAAAGCUUAUUAUGAUCUUACGGUGGGUAGAGAGAUGGAGCUUAAAAGGAUCAUAGGAAAGAAGUAUUUGAACUACAUUGCUGAAAGUAGCAAAAAUAUAAAUCAUUUAUAUAUGGAAAUUUGAGUAAUACAUUAAAUACAUGGUAAAUUAUUUGGGAAGGUUAUGUAGCUCACAUUUUAUUAUACCUUCUCUAUCCUAUGCAGUUUAAUACACACGAUGGGCCCUCCAAGUUAAAUAACCCAAUGAAACGGGAACAUGCUCUUUUGUAUUGAAGUUAAAUUUAGUGAAGGCCACCCACUUUCAAUAACAUUGAAGCACAUAUAUUCUGUUGUUGCUGUCCAUUAAUAUUUAUUUUUCCCCGUACAAUGAAGUAUGAAGCUAUCGAGAUAGGUUUCAUAAAUGACCUAUGAACUGUUAUUUCAAAGCACACAAACUAUGUAAAUUGGGAGUAGUAAUUAUAUCCUUUACAAAUAAAUUCCUGUGUCCUUCAUUAUCAAUUUAAUGGAGUAUUCUUUAGAGCUCAAAAGGAAAAUAAAUAAUCAUGGUGUUUAAUAUUGGAAAUUCUAAACUUUAUCUGAAUAAAAGAGUGAAACCACAAAUGCUAAUAUUUUUAUCUUAUUAAAAGCUAAUUAAGAAAUCCCUACUGGAAACUUUACAUCUAAAUGCCUGGUUCUUUGGAGAGACAUCUGAGUCAGGCUGAAUUAAGAAAUGAAGCAUAAUAUUUAUAACCCUAAGAGCUAUGCAAUGGCUCUUAAAUUUGUGAUUAACAGAAAAUAUAACAAUUCUCUAAGGGGAAGAAAUCAUUCAAAACCAAUUUUCAAUUCCCUAAACAUGUUAUUUUUUAAAGACCCAGUGAGCCAUGUUGAAUAUUCAAAUUAAUUAAUAAUUAUCAUAAAGUGUACUGCUACGAUGCGUUCUGAGAUAAUUCAAAGAGGAGUUUUACCUUGCAGCUGGAAUAAAAUUUCCAUUCAUUUACCUCCUAGAUGUGUAAACAACAUUAUUAAGUCAAUUUAUCAAAUGAAUAAAUACUAUCAUGUGUGACAGCAUGGUUAAUGGAGAAAUUAAAUAUAAAGGGUAAAAUUGUGCUUUAAACAUGGAAACUGCAUUCCCUUUGGACUGGUAAAAUUGUAGCCUGGUGGUCAAGAAAUACAAAUCUAGAAAGAGGAUGACAGAGGCUUUAACUCUAUUGCCCCCAGAUUUUGACUUUUGGUUGUCUCAAUUUAUAUAAUUUUCUGUUGCCUAUCACUUAACACGUUGCUGUAGCUAUUAUUGUUUUUGAUAGUUUUGCCUUUUAGGCUUCACACUAGUUAUAAGUGGAUUGCACUUCACAAUUACAGUGUUGAGGUAUUCUGGGGUUGUCUUCAUUUUACCUAUGAGUUUUAUACCUUUGAAUGUUUUCUUGUUUCACGUUAGUGUCUUUUUCUCUCAGAGUGAAGCAUUUUCUUUUGUAUUUCUUAUAUGACUAGUCAGGUGGUGGUGAAUUAUUAUAACUUUUGUUUGGAAAACUUUUAACUAUGUUUUCAGUUUAGAAAUAUAUUUCUCAGUUUGAGGAUUUCCAUUUGACAUUUAAUUAUUUCAAUCUCUUCAUUAAAUAUCUCUGAUAAAUUUCUGAAUCACUUUUUUUUGCAUUAUCUUGGAGAUCACUGAGUUUCUUGAAAAUUACUCUUUUGAAUUAUUGAUCAGAGAGCUCAUGUGUCACUGUCUCACUAUGGUGGUCACUGGUUCCUUGCCCUGUCCAUUUGGGGAGGUCCUGGUUCCCUGUUUGCUGUUGUUUCUUAUGGAUACAUGCCUGGGUCUUUUCAUCGUAGGAGUAUUCACUCUAGUCUGUGGAUUGUUUGGGGGUUUUAUUGGCUGUGUUUGCUUAGAGAAUCUUCAUAAUUUACCUAUUGAAAUUCUUACAUUUUUUCACCAGUGCCUUUGUUUCAGCACUAGAUGAUGCUUAAAGCCCAAGUUUGCCUCAGCUCCAGCAAGUGAUCAGAGAGCACUGCUGGGCCAGAAUGGGGGAGGUCCCCAAGGGGAUAUCCCAUUUCACUGGAAGGCCUUGCAAGGGAUUCGUGCCCAGAGGACCAUGGAACACACCUCCUGCAGAGUGUUGCUGCUGAACAACCACACUAAUUUGGUAUCUCCUUUGGCUGAGUGACAGAGCAGAGUUUCCAGAACUGUGGAUGAUGGUUGCACCUCCCUCUUUGUCUCUAGAUCUGUCUGCUGUCAGGCACUCAGAAUAUUUCCAUGGGUGGAGACAUUGUCAGGUCUCCCUGCCAAAGAAUCCAGAAUGCUGAGGAUGCUGCUUGUCAUCAUAUCUCACUUUUUGCAGCAUGGAAACCAUGAGUUGCAGGAAGUUUUCUGCGUGCUUGGUGCCAGGCAGACUGGGGUGAGAGGUGUCAUGGGUAUAAAAACAGGGUUCUCUGACUGUUUGCCUGCUGAUUUUAUUUCUCCAUGACCUUGGGAAUUAACUUAUAUUUGAGUUAUGGGUUAUUAUUGGUGAGGAUCUCAGUGCCGUACUUUUGGCUUUGGUUUUCUGGAGUAGGGGACAGUGAAGCCAGUUUGUGUCCAUGUCACCACUUCAGAACUGGAAAUCUGUAUUGUACUCUUUAAAUAGACAUAUGAUAAGAAUAUUUCAUAUAUUUCAUAUCUAUGUUUUCCCAAUCUGACUCUAGUUUUGUAUUAAUAUUGGUAUUUACAACGUAAUGACAACACUUAUGUGUCUAUCACAGUUCUAAUUACUUUAUAUGAUUUAAUGCUUAUAAUAUAUGUUAUAAGUAGUGAUAUUAUCUCCAUACUACUGAUAAGAAAAAUGAAGCAUAUGAUAUUUAACUGUCUACCGUUAAAUUGUCUACAAAUUGCCUACAUAGCUAAUAAUUACGCAAGUUGGGAUUUAAUCCCAGGCUACAAGUCUCCAUAAUGUAUAUCCUUAAUCACUGUGACGCUCAGGUUCAUAAAUGGUCCUGCUUCUUUAUAGUCGUCACUGUUUGACACAUGGCUUAAUCCAUCCAGCCUGACAAUCACCCGCUGCAGUGGUCUCAAAUCUAUGAUUAGAAUAUCCUAUUAAAGUAAUGUGUAAAGGUAAACUUAUUUCAGACAGCAUUAUUUAAAUUACUAAACCUAAUUUACUAAUCACUAGUCUAAAAUCAUCUGUAAAAUAUUUUAUUAACCUUUAUAAUAGCUAUUUCCCUUAGGAUAUGACAAGCAUCUCCAAUCCCAUUAUGUAUAUUGUGAACUAAAGAACAGAAAACUUGAGCUAUUGUCUAUAUUUUUAGAGACCAGGUGUUAAAGGAGGAUUUAGAAGCAAAUAUUCUAAGUGACAUCUCCAUGAUUAGCUUGAAAUCCUGCACUGCCUCCUGUACUUAUCAAAAAUGUUUCUAAUACCCUAAGACUUUAGAACCUAGCAUAGGAUUUACUGAUCUGCCUUUUCUAGUUCUAGUCCUGCAAUAAUUUUCUCUUUAACCAUAUUCUUCUUUAGUCACUUGGCGUUGUUUCCUUUUUUUGUUUCAGAGCCUUAUAAAAUUCCUUCCUUAGCAAAAAGACUUUUUUUCAACCUACCUUAACUCCCAAGCAAAGCUUUCCUUUUCAAGGUUUAUUGUUGUUUCCCUGAGGGACACUAUCUUUGAAGACCUUUUCCAACUGCUUUGGUGUGUCUUUGAAGAAAUCUUAUAUCUCAAACAUUUUAAAGAUCUACAGAUUUUAUAUUUUGUUGGCAAUGUAUUAUAUAAUCCUCAUACUGUAUCUUAAAUGGGAAAGAUGCCAGCAGCACUGAACUUGCCAAAAUAAUACUGAAAGUUCCAUUUUUCACAUAUCUCAUUCUAUUCUCUUUUUAUUUUUUUCCUUACAGACACCUAAGGUAGAAGUGCAACAAGACUUAUCAAAUUUUUCCACAAUUUUAUCCAAAACCCAAGAAAUAUUUUCACGAUGGAUGUGAGCAAUCACACAUCCAUAUUUAUUAUAAGGAUUUGUGUCUGGGUACAGUGGCUCAUGCCUAUAAUCCCAGUACUUUGGGAGGUCAAGGUGGACAAAUCACUUGAGGUCACGAGUUUGAGACCAGCCUGGCCAACAUGGUAAAACCCAUCUCUACUAAAAAUACA